GAAGUGCGAUAAGCAAUGCGAAUUGCAGAAUUCCGCGAGUCAUCAGAUCUUUGAACGCAAAUGGCGCCGGAGGGAUAUCCUUCUGGCAUGUCUGUUUCAGUGUCUGAGAGGUUUCACCAACAUCUUAAUGUGAUUGACAGCAGCAGCAGCAGCAAGCAAUUGUUGUGGUUGGUGUUGUCUCUCAUGAAAGAUGCGCGAGUGGAUCUUUCGGUCCAAUGAAGUGGUCACAUCACUCGUAUGUGAUUUCAUUGGGAGCACCGAAUUAUCCGCCAUGCUCGCGGUGUCAUCAUAUAAUAUAUGACGAAAGCAAGAAAGAAAGAAAGAGCUUCUUUCUUCUUCCUCUUCUUUGGUUGUAUUUUUUUUCUCUCUCUACACCCUGCAUCUGAGAUAGGCAAGAUCACCCGCUGAACUUAAGC
rnacentral:misc_RNA from 1 species